CCCGCUGAACUUAAGCAUAUCAAUAAGCGGAGGAAAAGAAACCAACAGGGAUUGCCUUAGUAACUGCGAGUGAAGCGGCAAAAGCUCAAAUUUGAAAUCUGGCGUCUUUGGCGUCCGAAUUGUAAUUUGGAGAGGCAACUUCGGAGAUGGUGCUGUCCUAAGUCCCUUGGAACAGGAUGACAUAGAGGGUGAGAUCCCCGUGCCUGGAUGGCUGUCCAUCUUCAUGUGAAUUGCCUUCGAAGAGUCGAGUUGUUUGGGAAUGCAGCUCAAAAUGGGUGGUAAAUUUCAUCUAAAGCUAAAUAUUGGCGAGAGACCGAUAGCGCACAAGUAGAGUGAUCGAAAGAUGAAAAGCACUUUGAAAAGAGAGUUAAAAAGUACGUGAAAUUGUUGAAAGGGAAGCGCUUGAGACCAGACUCGAUUCGUGGUGAUCAGCUGUGCUUCUGUACGGUGCACUCGCCAUGGAUUGGGCCAGCAUCGGUUCUGACGGUGGGAUAAAAGGUUGAGGAAUGUGUCUUCCUUCGGGGAGUGUUAUAGCCUCACUCACAAUGCCACCAGCUGGGACCGAGGACCGCGCUUCGGCUAGGAUGCUGGCGUAAUGGUCUUAAGCGGCCCGUCUUGAAACACGG
rnacentral:rRNA from 1 species